rnacentral:hammerhead_ribozyme from 1 species
GCACUACUGAAGAGUCCUACAAUAGGACAAAACGGCCGUCCAGUGC